rnacentral:rRNA from 1 species
GAUGAACGCUGGCGGCGUGCCUAAUACAUGCAAGUCGAACGAACGGACGAGAAGCUUGCUUUUCUGAUGUUAGCGGCGGACGGGUGAGUAACACGUGGAUAACCUACCUAUAAGACUGGGAUAACUUCGGGAAACCGGAGCUAAUACCGGAUAAUAUUUUGAACCGCAUGGUUCAAAAGUGAAAGACGGUCUUGCUGUCACUUAUAGAUGGAUCCGCGCUGCAUUAGCUAGUUGGUAAGGUAACGGCUUACCAAGGCAACGAUGCAUAGCCGACCUGAGAGGGUGAUCGGCCACACUGGAACUGAGACACGGUCCAGACUCCUACGGGAGGCAGCAGUAGGGAAUCUUCCGCAAUGGGCGAAAGCCUGACGGAGCAACGCCGCGUGAGUGAUGAAGGUCUUCGGAUCGUAAAACUCUGUUAUUAGGGAAGAACAUAUGUGUAAGUAACUGUGCACAUCUUGACGGUACCUAAUCAGAAAGCCACGGCUAACUACGUG